GCCUCAGUGGUUUAGUGGUAGCGCGCGUCCCCGGAAUGAAUGAAACGCGGGUUCGAUUUCCGCCUGAGACC